UACGGAGGAUGCGAGCGUUAUCCGGAUUUAUUGGGUUUAAAGGGAGCGUAGGUGGAUUGUUAAGUCAGUUGUGAAAGUUUGCGGCUCAACCGUAAAAUUGCAGUUGAAACUGGCAGUCUUGAGUACAGUAGAGGUGGGCGGAAUUCGUGGUGUAGCGGUGAAAUGCUUAGAUAUCACGAAGAACUCCGAUUGCGAAGGCAGCUUACUGGACUGUAACUGACGCUGAAGCACGAGAGCGUGGGUAGCAAACAGG
rnacentral:rRNA from 1 species